ACCUGCAAGUCGAGCGGAUGAGUGGAGCUUGCUCCAUGAUUCAGCGGCGGACGGGCGAGUAAUGCCUAGGAAUCUGCCUGGUAUUGGGGGACAACGUUUCGAAAGGAACGCUAAUACCGCAUACGUCCUACGGGAGAAAGCAGGGGACCUUCGGGCCUUGCGCUAUCAGAUGAGCCUAGGUCGGAUUACCUAGUUGGUGGGGUAAAGGCCUACCAAGGCGACGAUCCGAAACUGGUCUGAGAGGAUGAUCAGUCACACUGGAACUGAGACACGGUCCAGACUCCUACGGGAGGCAGCAGUGGGGAAUAUUGGACAAUGGGCGAAAGCCUGAUCCAACCAUGCCGCGUGUGUGAAGAAGGUCUUCGGAUUGUAAAUCACUUUAUGUUGGGAGGAAGGGCAGUAAGUUAAUACCUUGCUGUUUUGACGUUACCAACAGAAUAAGCACCGGCUAACUUCGUGCCAGCAGCCGCGGUAAUACGAAGGGUGCAAGCGUUAAUCGGAAUUACUGGGCGUAAAGCCGCGUAUGUGGUUUGGUAAGAUGGAUGUGAAAUCCCCGGGCUCAACCUGGGAACUGCAUCCAUAACUGCCUGACUAGAGUACGGUAGAGGGUGGUGGAAUUUCCUGUGUAGCGUUGAAAUGCGUAGAUAUAGGAAGGAACACCAGUGGCGAACGCGACCACCUGGACUGAUACUGACGCUGAGGUGCGAAAGCGUGGGGAGCAAACAGGAUUACAUACCCUGGUAGUCCACGCCG
rnacentral:rRNA from 1 species